UACGUAGGGGGCAAGCGUUGUCCGGAUUUAUUGGGCGUAAAGAGCGUGUAGGCGGCCAUACAGGUCAGCUGUGAAAACUCGAGGCUCAACCUCGAGACGUCGGUUGAAACCGUAUGGCUAGAGUCCGGAAGAGGAAAGUGGAAUUCCUGGUGUAGCGGUGAAAUGCGCAGAUAUCAGGAAGAACACCAAUGGCGAAAGCAGCUUUCUGGGACGGUACUGACGCUGAGACGCGAAAGCGUGGGGAGCGAACAGG
rnacentral:rRNA from 1 species